rnacentral:rRNA from 1 species
GACGAACGCUGGCGGCGUGCUUAGCACAUGCAAGUCGAACGGAAAGGCCCUGCUUUUGUGGGGUGCUCGAGUGGCGAACGGGUGAGUAACACGUGAGUAACCUGCCCUUGACUUUGGGAUAACUUCACGAAACUGGGGCUAAUACCGGAUAUGAGCUCCUGCUGCAUGGUGUGGGUUGGAAAGUGUCGGCGGUUGGGGAUGGAUUCGCGGCUUAUCAGCUUGUUGGUGGGGUAGUUGCUUACCAAGGCUGUGACGGGUAGCCGGCCUGGGAGGGUGACCGGCGACAUUGGGACUGAGGUACGGCCCAGACGCGUACGGGAGGCAGCAGUGGGGAAUAUUGCAGAAUGGGCGGAAGCCUGAUGCAGAAACGCCGCGUGCGGAAUGACGGCUUUCGGGUUGUAAACCGCUUUCGAAUGUGACGAAGCGUGAGUGACGGUAAUGGGUAAAGAAGCACCGGCUAACUACGUG